AGAACUUAGCAGAGAUGCUUUGGUGCCUUCGGGAACUCUGAGACAGGUGCUGCAUGGCUGUCGUCAGCUCGUGUUGUGAAAUGUUGGGUUAAGUCCCACAACGAGCGCAACCCUUAUCCUUUGUUGCCAGCGGUCCGGCCGGGAACUCAAAGGAGACUGCCAGUGAUAAACUGGAGGAAGGUGGGGAUGACGUCAAGUCAUCAUGGCCCUUACGAGUAGGGCUACACACGUGCUACAAUGGCGCAUACAAAGAGAAGCGACCUCGCGAGAGCAAGCGGACCUCAUAAAGUGCGUCGUAGUCCGGAUUGGAGUCUGCAACUCGACUCCAUGAAGUCGGAAUCGCUAGUAAUCGUGGAUCAGAAUGCCACGGUGAAUACGUUCCCGGGCCUUGUACACACCGCCCGUCACACCAUGGGAGUGGGUUGCAAAAGAAGUAGGUAGCUUAACCUUCGGGAGGGCGCUUACCACUUUGUGAUUCAUGACUGGGGUGAAGUCGUAACAAGGUAAGCGUAGUGCU
rnacentral:rRNA from 1 species